CUUGGUCAUUUAGAGGAAGUAAAAGUCGUAACAAGGUUUCCGUAGGUGAACCUGCGGAAGGAUCAUUAUUGAAAUUAUAGGUGAGGGUUGUAGCUGGCCUCUCGGGGCAUGUGCACGCCCGAGCCCUUAAUCCACACACACCUGUGAACCUAUUGUAAGGGCCCUUAAAAAAGGCCUUUACGUCCUAUCAUCAACCCAUCGUAUGUCUCAUAGAAUGUAAAUAUAUGUCCUCGCCUUAAAAAGCGUUGAUAAACUUAUACAACUUUCAACAACGGAUCUCUUGGCUCUCGCAUCGAUGAAGAACAAAGCGAAAUGCGAUAAGUAAUGUGAAUUGCAGAUUUUCAGUGAAUCAUCGAAUCUUUGAACGCACCUUGCGCUCCUUGGUAUUCCGAGGAGCAUGCCUGUUUGAGUGUCAUUAAAUUCUCAACUCUGAUCGAUUUGUUUCGACUUCGGAGCUUGGAUUUGGAGCGUGCUGGCGUCGGUCGGCUCCUCUUAAAUGCAUCAGCGGAAUCUAACGUUUCGGACGUCAGUGUGAUAAUCAUGUUGCGCUGUCUGUCUGAUCCGAAAGCCCGCUCACAAUGGUCUUCGGACAACUUCAUAUCAAAUUUGACCUCAAAUCAGGUAGGACUACCCUCUGAACUUAAGCAUAUCAAUAAGCGGAGGA
rnacentral:rRNA from 1 species